UACGGAGGGGGCUAGCGUUGUUCGGAAUUACUGGGCGUAAAGCGCACGUAGGCGGCUUUGUAAGUUAGAGGUGAAAGCCCGGGGCUCAACUCCGGAAUUGCCUUUAAGACUGCAUCGCUAGAAUUGUGGAGAGGUAAGUGGAAUUCCGAGUGUAGAGGUGAAAUUCGUAGAUAUUCGGAAGAACACCAGUAGCGAAGGCGACUUACUGGACACAUAUUGACGCUGAGGUGCGAAAGCGUGGGGAGCAAACAGG
rnacentral:rRNA from 1 species